UACGUAGGGUGCAAGCGUUGUCCGGAAUUAUUGGGCGUAAAGCGCGCGCAGGCGGUCCUUUAAGUCUGAUGUGAAAGCCCACGGCUCAACCGUGGAGGGUCAUUGGAAACUGGAGGACUUGAGUACAGAAGAGGAAAGCGGAAUUCCACGUGUAGCGGUGAAAUGCGUAGAGAUCGGGAGGAACACCGGUGGCGAAGGCGGGUCUCUGGGCAUCUCCUGACGCUGAGGCGCGAAAGCGUGGGGAGCAAACGGG
rnacentral:rRNA from 1 species